AUUGAACGCUGGCGGCAUGCCUUACACAUGCAAGUCGAACGGCAGCGCGGGAGCAAUCCUGGCGGCGAGUGGCGAACGGGUGAGUAAUACAUCGGAACGUGCCCAAUCGUGGGGGAUAACGCAGCGAAAGCUGUGCUAAUACCGCAUACGAUCUACGGAUGAAAGCAGGGGAUCGCAAGACCUUGCGCGAAUGGAGCGGCCGAUGGCAGAUUAGGUAGUUGGUGAGGUAAAGGCUCACCAAGCCUUCGAUCUGUAGCUGGUCUGAGAGGACGACCAGCCACACUGGGACUGAGACACGGCCCAGACUCCUACGGGAGGCAGCAGUGGGGAAUUUUGGACAAUGGGCGCAAGCCUGAUCCAGCCAUGCCGCGUGCAGGAUGAAGGCCUUCGGGUUGUAAACUGCUUUUGUACGGAACGAAACGGCCUUUUCUAAUAAAGAGGGCUAAUGACGGUACCGUAAGAAUAAGCACCGGCUAACUACG
rnacentral:rRNA from 1 species